rnacentral:rRNA from 1 species
GAUGAACGCUGGCGGCGUGCUUAACACAUGCAAGUCGAACGGAAAGGCCCAAGCUUGCUUGGGUACUCGAGUGGCGAACGGGUGAGUAACACGUGGGUGAUCUGCCCUGCACUUCGGGAUAAGCCUGGGAAACUGGGUCUAAUACCGGAUAGGACGAUGGUUUGGAUGCCAUUGUGGAAAGUUUUUUCGGUGUGGGAUGAGCUCGCGGCCUAUCAGCUUGUUGGUGGGGUAAUGGCCUACCAAGGCGUCGACGGGUAGCCGGCCUGAGAGGGUGUACGGCCACAUUGGGACUGAGAUACGGCCCAGACUCCUACGGGAGGCAGCAGUGGGGAAUAUUGCACAAUGGGCGCAAGCCUGAUGCAGCGACGCCGCGUGGGGGAUGACGGCCUUCGGGUUGUAACCUCCUUUCGCUAGGGACGAAGCGUUUUUGUGACGGUACCUGGAGAAGAAGCACCGGCUAACUACGUG